rnacentral:rRNA from 1 species
GUGGGGAAUAUUGGACAAUGGGCGAAAGCCUGAUCCAGCCAUGCCGCGUGUGUGAAGAAGGUCUUCGGAUUGUAAAGCACUUUAAGUUGGGAGGAAGGGCAGUAAGUUAAUACCUUGCUGUUUUGACGUUACCGACAGAAUAAGCACCGGCUAACUUCGUGCCAGCAGCCGCGGUAAUACGAAGGGUGCAAGCGUUAAUCGGAAUUACUGGGCGUAAAGCGCGCGUAGGUGGUUUUGUAAGUUGGAGGUGAAAUCCCCGGGCUCAACCUGGGAACUGCCUCCCAAAAUGCAUGACUAGAGUACGGUAGAGGGUAGUGGAAUUUCCUGUGUAGCGGUGAAAUGCGUAGAUAUAGGAAGGAACACCAGUGGCGAAGGCGACUACCUGGACUGAUACUGACACUGAGGUGCGAAAGCGUGGGGAGCAAACAGGAUUAGAAACCCCUGUAGUCC